rnacentral:snRNA from 1 species
GGGCAGAGACGUUUCCAGUUCCUAAAAUUGGAAUGAUACAAAGAAGAUUAGCAUGCCCCUGUGGAAGGAUGACAUACAAAUUUGUGAAGCGUUUAUAUAUAUA